rnacentral:rRNA from 1 species
GACGAACGCUGGCGGCGUGCCUAAUACAUGCAAGUUGAGCGAUGAAGAUUGGUGCUUGCACCAAUUUGAAGAGCAGCGAACGGGUGAGUAACGCGUGGGGAAUCUGCCUUUGAGCGGGGGACAACAUUUGGAAACGAAUGCUAAUACCGCAUAAUAACUUUAAACAUAAGUUUUAAGUUUGAAAGAUGCAAUUGCAUCACUCAAAGAUGAUCCCGCGUUGUAUUAGCUAGUUGGUGAGGUAAAGGCUCACCAAGGCGAUGAUACAUAGCCGACCUGAGAGGGUGAUCGGCACCAUGGAGACUGAGACACGGCCCAAACUCCUACGGGAGGCAGCAGUAGGGAAUCUUCGGCAAUGGACGAAAGUCUGACCGAGCAACGCCGCGUGAGUGAAGAAGGUUUUCGGAUCGUAAAACUCUGUUGGUAGAGAAGAACGUUGGUGAGAGUGGAAAGCUCAUCAAGUGACGGUAACUACACAGAAAGGGACGGCUAACUACG